rnacentral:rRNA from 1 species
GUCCACGCUGUAAACGAUGGGCACUAGGUGUGGGAGGUGUCUACUCCUCCCGUGCCGGAGCUAACGCAUUAAGUGCCCCGCCUGGGGAGUACGGCCGCAAGGCUAAAACUCAAAGGAAUUGACGGGGACCCCGCACAAGCAGCGGAGCAUGUGGUUUAAUUCGACGCAACGCGAAGAACCUUACCUGGGUUUGACAUGUUCCUGACCGCCGUGGAAACACGGUUUCCCCUUGUGGGCAGGAUCACAGGUGGUGCAUGGCUGUCGU